UAAGUAGAAAAUGCGGCGCCGCA
rnacentral:siRNA from 1 species